AGAGUUUGAUCCUGGCUCAGGACGAACGCUGGCGGCACGCUUAACACAUGCAAGUCGAACGAGAGAAGAGGAGCUUGCUUUUCUGAUCUAGUGGCGGACGGGUGAGUAACACGUGAGCAAUCUGCCUUUCAGAGGGGGAUACCGAUUGGAAACGAUCGUUAAUACCGCAUAACAUAAUUGAACCGCAUGAUUUGAUUAUCAAAGAUUUAUCGCUGAAAGAUGAGCUCGCGUCUGAUUAGCUAGUUGGUAAGGUAACGGCUUACCAAGGCGACGAUUAGUAGCCGGACUGAGAGGUUGAUCGGCCACAUUGGGACUGAGACACGGCCCAGACUCCUACGGGAGGCAGCAGUGGGGAAUAUUGCACAAUGGAGGAAACUCUGAUGCAGCGAUGCCGCGUGAGGGAAGAAGGUUUUAGGAUUGUAAACCUCUGUCUUCAGGGACGAAAAAAGACGGUACCUGAGGAGGAAGCUCCGGCUAACUACGUGCCAGCAGCCGCGGUAAUACGUAGGGAGCGAGCGUUGUCCGGAAUUACUGGGUGUAAAGGGAGCGUAGGCGGGAUCGCAAGUCAGAUGUGAAAACUAUGGGCUUAACCCAUAAACUGCAUUUGAAACUGUGGUUCUUGAGUGAAGUAGAGGUAAGCGGAAUUCCUAGUGUAGCGGUGAAAUGCGUAGAUAUUAGGAGGAACAUCAGUGGCGAAGGCGGCUUACUGGGCUUUAACUGACGCUGAGGCUCGAAAGCGUGGGGAGCAAACAGGAUUAGAUACCCUGGUAGUCCACGCCGUAAACGAUGAUUACUAGGUGUGGGGGGACUGACCCCUUCCGUGCCGCAGCAAACGCAAUAAGUAAUCCACCUGGGGAGUACGACCGCAAGGUUGAAACUCAAAGGAAUUGACGGGGGCCCGCACAAGCAGUGGAGUAUGUGGAUUAAUUCGAAGCAACGCGAAGAACCUUACCAGGUCUUGACAUCGUAUGCAUAGCUCAGAGAUGAGUGAAAUCUCUUCGGAGACAUAUAGACAGGUGGUGCAUGGUUGUCGUCAGCUCGUGUCGUGAGAUGUUGGGUUAAGUCCCGCAACGAGCGCAACCCUUACUGUUAGUUGCUACGCAAGAGCACUCUAGCAGGACUGCCGUUGACAAAACGGAGGAAGGUGGGGAUGACGUCAAAUCAUCAUGCCCCUUAUGGCCUGGGCCUCACACGUACUACAAUGGCUGUCAACAGAGGGAAGCAAAGCCGCGAGGUGGAGCGAACCCCUAAAAGCAGUCUUAGUUCGGAUUGUAGGCUGCAACCCGCCUACAUGAAGUCGGAAUUGCUAGUAAUCGCAGAUCAGCAUGCUGCGGUGAAUACGUUCCCGGGCCUUGUACACACCGCCCGUCACGCCAUGGGAGUCGGUAACACCCGAAGCCUGUAGUCUAACCGCAAGGAGGACGCAGUCGAAGGUGGGAUUGAUGACUGGGGUGAAGUCGUAACAAGGUA
rnacentral:rRNA from 1 species